UACAGAGGGUGCAAGCGUUGUUCGGAAUUACUGGGCGUAAAGCGCGUGUAGGCGGGUCUUUAAGUCAGGGGUGAAAUGCCAAGGCUCAACCUUGGAACUGCCUUUGAUACUGGAGAUCUUGAGUCCGGGAGAGGUGAGUGGAACUGCGAGUGUAGAGGUGAAAUUCGUAGAUAUUCGCAAGAACACCAGUGGCGAAGGCGGCUCACUGGCCCGGAACUGACGCUGAGACGCGAAAGCGUGGGGAGCAAACAGG
rnacentral:rRNA from 1 species